UUAAGUUCAGCGGGUUUUCCUACCUGAUUUGAGACCAAGUGUUCAGGGAAAGUCAACUGGUGUCAACCUUCUCUGGGUAAAUGGUUGAGUUAAACUGGCCUUCACAACCGACAAUUCAUAAGAACAAACGUACGUGUGAGUUGCCCCAUUCAUGCGUGUGCCCAAGAACUGGUGGUUCAAGGAAGCGUAACAUUUCAUUU
rnacentral:misc_RNA from 1 species